GUCCUUCUGGUUUAAAAGUAUAAAACUUUUUCUUUGUUCCAUUUUUGUUCUUGGAUUUUUGUUCUUCGUCUGCCAUGUUUGUUUCUUGCCUGAAUUCAACUGGUAGUUGAUUUUCCCCAUGUGUGUGUGUCUGCCUCCUCCUGACUAUCUCACCUGGCUAGGAAGACGUUCAACAUCUGGAGAGGACCCAGGUGCAUCGUGAUAAAAGCCUCUGAGGACACCGUGAACUACAAGCACUGUCCCAGGGGUUCAGUGGCAUCGGUGUCUUUAGCAGUGUGGGCAGGUUCCAAGUCCUGCUGGAAAAUUAAAUCAGUAUCUCCAUAAAACUUGUCUGCAGAAGGAACCAUGCAGGACUCUAAAACUUCCUUGUAGACAGUUGCAGAUGACACGGCUUGUCAAAUCAUCGUAAUCUGUGGGAGCGUCCCACUGGAUUUCAGGCAGCUUGGAUUCAGACAUUCUGUUCUUCCUCCACACUCUGGGUUCCACAAAAGGCUCAACAAAAGAAAUACAACAGUUGAAGUCCACUUUAUUGAUGCAUUUGUGUGUUGUGGCUCUUGAAGCUUUGAUUCACCUUGUCAGGUAUUUUUAUUAUGUGUGCUCUUUUUGUCCUGCCACACUUUUUCUUUGCAGUAAACUUUCCAUUAAUAUGCUUGAAUACAGUACUCUGAAUAUCUAGCCAAUGACCUUCAAUAAUGACUGUCUGCAUUGAAUAGUCUUCCAUAAGACUGUCGAUAUAUUAUUUUCUGGGUUUUCAUAAAUUUUAAAUGUAAAUAAAAGUUUAAAAUAUA